CUGGCUGUGUGCCUAAUACAUGCAUGUCGACGAAGUAGCUUGCUACUUAGUGGCGAAUGGGUGAGUAACACGUGCUUAAUCUACCUUCUAGAUUGGGAUAACAGUUGGAAACGACUGCUAAUACCGGAUAGGUGAGUUCUCGCAUGAGAAUAACAUGAAAGGAGCCUUAAAGCUUCACUAGGAGAUGAGAGCGCGGAACAUUAGUUAGUUGGUAGGGUAAUGGCCUACCAAGACGAUGAUGUUUAGCCGGGUUGAGAAACUGACCGGCCACACUGGGACUGAGAUACGGCCCAGACUCCUACGGGAGGCAGCAGUAGGGAAUAUUCCACAAUGGGCGAAAGCCUGAUGGAGCGACACAGCGUGCACGAUGACGGCCCUCGGGUUGUAAAGUGCUGUUAUUAGGGAAGAACACUUGUUUGAGGAAAUGCUAACAAGCUGACGGUACCUGAUCAGAAAGCGAUGGCUAACUAUGUGCCAGCAGCCGCGGUAAUACAUAGGUCGCAAGCGUUAUCCGGAAUUAUUGGGCGUAAAGCGUUCGUAGGCUGUUUGUUAAGUCUGAAGUUAAAGCCUGGGGCUCAACCCCAGCCCGCUUUAGAUACUGGCAAACUAGAGUGAGAUAGAGGUAAGCGGAAUUCCAUGUGAAGCGGUGAAAUGCGUAGAUAUAUGGAAGAACACCAAAGGCGAAGGCAGCUUACUGGGUCUAUACUGACGCUGAGGGACGAAAGCGUGGGGAGCAAACAGGAUUAGAUACCCUGGUAGUCCACGCCGUAAACGAUGAUCAUUAGUCGGUGGAAAAUUCACUGACGCAGCUAACGCAUUAAAUGAUCCGCCUGAGUAGUAUGCUCGCAAGAGUGAAACUUAAAGGAAUUGACGGGGACUCGCACAAGCGGUGGAGCAUGUGGUUUAAUUUGAAGAUACGCGGAGAACCUUACCCACUCUUGACAUCUUCCGCAAAGCUAUGGAGACAUAGUGGAGGUUAACGGAAUGACAGAUGGUGCAUGGUUGUCGUCAGCUCGUGUCGUGAGAUGUUUGGUUAAGUCCAGCAACGAGCGCAACCCCUAUUUUCAGUUACUAACGGGUAAUGCCGAGGACUCUGGAGAUACUGCCUGGGUAACCAGGAGGAAGGUGGGGAUGACGUCAAAUCAUCAUGCCUCUUAUGAGUGGGGCGACACACGUGCUACAAUGGUUGGUACAAAGAGAAGCAAGACAGUGAUGUGGAGCAAAUCUCAAAAAGCCAAUCUCAGUUCGGAUUGAAGUCUGCAACUCGACUUCAUGAAGUCGGAAUCGCUAGUAAUCGCAGGUCAGCCAUACUGCGGUGAAUACGUUCUCGAGUCUUGUACACACCGCCCGUCACACCAUGGGAGCUGGUAAUGCCCGAAGCCGGUUAGUUAACUUCGGAGACGACUGUCUAAGGUAGGACUGGUGACUGGGGUGAAGUCGUAACAAGGUAUCCCUACGAGAAC
rnacentral:rRNA from 1 species